CCAAUAGCGUAUAUUAAAGUUGUUGCAGUUAAAAAGCUCGUAGUUGAAUUUCGGGAUCAAUAUAUCGGUCGUGCCAUCGGUACGUACUGGUAUCAUUGGUUUCUCCUUUCUGACGAACCAUGAUGUCAUUAAUUUGGUGUUAUGGGAAGUUAGGACUGUUACUUUGAAAAAAUUAGAGUGUUUAAAGCAGGCUCACGCUUGAAUACAUUAGCAUGGAAUAAUGAAAUAGGACGUUUGAUUCUAUUUUGUUGGUUUCUAGGAUCGACGUAAUGAUUAAUAGGGAUAGUUGGGGGCAUUAGUAUUCAAUUGUCAGAGGUGAAAUUCUUGGAUUUAUUGAAGACUAACUACUGCGAAAGCAUUUGCCAAGGAUGUUUUCAUUAAUCAAGAACGAAAGUUAGGGGAUCGAAGACGAUCAGAUACCGUCGUAGUCUUAACCAUAAACUAUGCCGACUAGGGAUCGGAUGAUGUUAAUUUUUUAAUGACUCAUUCGGCGCCUUACG
rnacentral:rRNA from 1 species